rnacentral:rRNA from 1 species
GACGAACGCUGGCGGCGUGCCUAAUACAUGCAAGUUGAGCGAUGAAGAUUGGUGCUUGCACCAAUUUGAAGAGCAGCGAACGGGUGAGUAACGCGUGGGGAAUCUGCCUUUGAGCGGGGGACAACAUUUGGAAACGAAUGCUAAUACCGCAUAAUAACUUUAAACAUAAGUUUUAAGUUUGAAAGAUGCAAUUGCAUCACUCAAAGAUGAUCCCGCGUUGUAUUAGCUAGUUGGUGAGGUAAAGGCUCACCAAGGCGAUGAUACAUAGCCGACCUGAGAGGGUGAUCGGCCACAUUGGGACUGAGGCACGGCCCAAACUCCUACGGGAGGCAGCAGUAGGGAAUCUUCGGCAAUGGACGAAAGUCUGACCGAGCAACGCCGCGUGAGUGAAGAAGGUUUUCGGAUCGUAAAACUCUGUUGGUAGAGAAGAACGUUGGUGAGAGUGGAAAGCUCAUCAAGUGACGGUAACUACCCAGAAAGGGACGGCUAACUACGUG